rnacentral:lncRNA from 1 species
AAUUCCGAAAAAAAUUAAUAUUUCACUCAAAUUAUGAAUUUUCAAAAUAGUAAUAGAAAGCCCAUCCGAUGAAAGGUUUGUCCAUGUAAUCGAAAGUAAUGACCUCCAUCAUUGUUCAAGUUUUUAUAAAUUGUUCCACCCAUCAAUGUAAAAGUAAAAAUAUUAUUAUAAAUAUUUAUGCGAAAUACAUUAGCCAGCUGACCCUCUCCGUCUAGCAACUGCAAUAACUCAGUUGGUGUCUCAUGCAAGGCUGGUAGUUGAACACUUGAACUUAGCCCUUAGAGCAGCACAAAGAAAAACCCAACGACCUAUUUUGUUGUUAGGUGAUAGUGUGUUCAUGCUCCCACAUAUAUAACAGUAUGGAAAUUGCGACAAACUCAUUCUAUGUAGCCUAUAUUUAGUAUCCUCCUGCUUGUAGCUGCAACAAACAAAAAGUUAUUUAGUGAUAUGUUGUUAUUAAGUAUUCAAAUUAUUUGGGAGGUGUACAAUUUAUGCCUUACCAAAAUUUGAUUUUUGAAAAUUAAUGUUACUACACGUCCUCCUACUCUCUGUGAUAACACCUGUAACCAAUGCGUCAUAUGCAUAAAAUGAGAUUGCUAAUAAUAAAAAAUAGUAACUGAACUAAAUAAUAAUUUACACCAAUUAUAUUGCACAUACACCAAAGCUCACAAUUGUUAACAUUACCUUCAAUAAUUCAUGUUAUGUGCAACAUAUCAAGACAGAUGUGAUGCUGUCAAGACAAAAAUAUUUUCUUAUAUAUGUCAAACUAUUUGUUUUCUUUUGUAGUAUAAACAAUAACAAAAAUACAUGGUUUAACAAAUAGAUCAAUCUCCACUUAGUUAACAAAAUUCAAUUACAUGGCAUACUUAACCGUAGAACUUAGAUCAAAUCAAUUUACAACACAUAAACAUGAAUAUAUGUACAUUACCUGCUGUUACCAAGGAUUUUGACCUUUAAAAGCAUUCUUCUUCGGGAAGGCAUGGUUGAACAAACUAAAAUAAGUAAAUGUUAUUUUAAUAGGUAGGAAAGAGAUUUUAUUGAUAGAAGGAAAAAAACAACUCCUCUAUUAAUAGAAGAAGUCCACUGAAAAGAAUUAGUGUGUGUUCACUUUCCUUUAGAAAAUAAAUACACAACUAAUGCCUAUUAUUCAUCUAUACAUGGUCAAUUUUAUAUUAAAACAUGUAUUUCAAAAUCUCUAAAGUCCCAGCACAUACUACUAAAUGAUAAGUAAUUACUAAUAACAUGCAAGUCUGGUAUAUGAUAAUAUUGACCACUACCUCAUCCACUGUGAAGUUAGCAGGACCUCAAGAAUUAGCCUCAUUAGUUUGUUAUAUACCUACAACCCUUAUGUAAGGCUAUCUAAUUGCAACUGCUCCUUUAUGGCUACAAAUAGAUCCAAAAAUAGAAACAAAAAUGAGAUUCAAACAACUCAGGGGCAACUGCCAAUGAAAAAUAUAAAAAUUAAAUAUCUAAUUGAUAGCAAAAACAACUUAUAAUGAAGACGAAUUGGCAGAUUGAAAGAUACUAUAAAUGCCCAUUAUUUCUAUUCUUCUUCUUCUUUUGUUUUUUUUAAUUCCAAACUCUGAAAACAGAGCGUAAUAGCCAUGGCACAAACUCAUAGCCUUCUUGUUCCGCUUCUUGAAAAGUUGUCAUAAAUAAAUUCAAGUAAGCACAAUAUCAAAGUUCAGAAGUUUGAUCGAAAAAUAAUAAUUUCAAAUAAAAAAUAAAAUAGAAUCAGUUUUGAACCAAGGAUUUUAAAGAAAAAUAAAAAUGUAUUAGAAUAAUGAUCGAUAAUUGUUUAAAGGGGAGAAUUUUUUUUAAAAAAAGGAACUAAAAUUAUGGAUUGUGAUGACAACAUAUAUCUUUUUUGGCAUUUCACCAAACAUGUAAUGUGCACUAUUCUAAACAGCCAAUUCAAGAUCAAAUUGGACUAACAAAAAAAUAGGAUUUGGGGAGGGUAAAAGGAUUACUGCCAUGGAAUGUAUGCAAAGAAAUUACAGGUAAUAAUCAUCAUACAACACAAAUUGCCUUGAAUAAAGGGAAACAUAUAAAUACAUUUAAUCAAGUGUCUUGUCACAUACACAAAAAAUUAUGUUCAUACAGAGGAUAUAAAUACAUGGAAAAUGAGAGAAUAAAGAAGACCCGCACCAAUCAAAUCAUACAUUUGAUAUACCAUCACUUCUGUAUGUGCAUCUGUAAUUGAAAAACACAAUAAGGCUUUACAUUACCUGAAAACCCAAUAACUGUUUAUGCAGUAUGACAGUUCUUAUUCCCUUUACAAUAAAGAUGUAAAAAUAAUUUACUGUAAUUAAAUAUUUGUGAAUCUAUAUAUUAAGUAAAUUAAAUACAUAUAUUAGGUAUUAGUGAGAAAUACUAUUUUACUGUAAUAGUAUAUUAGGUAUUUAUUCAAUAUCAGGUAAUUCACCAUCAUAGAUACACGAACAUAUUUGUCAUCCAAAGGUAUUAAUUAAUAUCUUUGGAUAUUAAUUUUUUGCACAUUUGCAACCUACUUUUUAGGAACUUAAAAGCAUCACUAACAUAAGAAAAUAUUUUGCUUAAUUAAGAGAGAGGUGUUUCAUAUGCAGUAUUUUUGUAAAGAUGAUAUGAGAAUGAAGAAGACCCACACUAAUUUAUUUGUAAAACUUAAGAGGAGGAGGAAAUUACCAAAGUUUUUGAUACAAUUGUGGUCUGUACAACAUUCAGAGAGGCAUCCCUUUGGGUUGUGAUGUUAGCAAGAGCAGAUCGCUUCGUUGCCAAUUAGAGCUUCUUCACUGCCAUAAAAUUAGGAUUUGGAUUGACGGUGAGAAGAGAGGAAGUGGCAAGUAAUUGAAUUAAGUGUCAAAGGGGCAAUUGAACCAUUUUGACAGAGGUUAUAGGGAAAUUAGAAGCGAAAGAGGAAGACGAGGGACGUGGAAGAAAGACGAUCGUUUAUGGUGAGGGAUCGCUCUCUUCUUCGACUGAUAAUCCCAUCCGAUAAUUCUACCAAAGUUUUUGAUAGAAUUGUGGUCUGAAUGUAAAAACUUUCCUCUGUACUCGAAUGACAUCUUUAAACUAAUAAACACAAUUAAUCUUGCAACCUGAUUUAAUUUUCUCCAAGGCUUCAGUCAUAGCCUUUUUGUUCCUCUUCAUGAAAAGCUAUCAUUAAUAAAUUCAAGCAAGUACAAUAUCAAAGUCCAGAAGUUUGAUCGAAAAAUAAUAAUUUUAAAUAAAAAAUAAAAAUAGAAUCAAUAUAAUUUUUCAUUUUUGAAACUGCCUCCAACAAUUUAUUGAAUUGAAUUGUAGGUGGCAGAGGUUUUCUUUGAGCCAUCUCAUCGAACAGAUUGUGAGCAUCAUUGAGGUUAGUAAUGCUAUCAAAUCUAGGUCUGGCUUUCUCAGAAUUUCUUGAAACAGUGGCAGCAGGUAUAUGAGAAUGAAAGGGAAGUAGAUUGGUACUGUUACAAUAAAAAUCUGAGGGCAAGAGUAAUGGGUUUGUAGAGAGAGAGAAAAAAGUACCUUGAGAUUCACCAAGAACAGUUCUUCUGCAGAUGAAACAAACAUUUCUCUUCAUCUUCAAAAACACAAAUUGCAAUGAAUAAAGGGAAACACAUAAAUACAUUUAAUCAAGAGUCUUAACACAUACACAGAAAAAUUAUGCACAUACAGAGGUAUAUAGAUACAUGGGAAAUGAGAGAAUGAAGAAGACCCACACUAAUUUAUUUGUAAAACUCAUAAGAGGAGGAGGGAAUUACCAAAGUUUUUGAUAGAAUUGUGGUCUGUAUAACAUUCAGAGAGGCAUCCCUUUGGUUUGUGAUGUUAGCAAGAGCAGACCGCUUCGUCGCCAAUUAGAGCUUCUUCACUGCCAUAGAAUUAGGAUUUAGAUUGACGGUAAGAAGAGAAGAAGUGGCAAGUAAUUGAAUUAAGUGUUGGAUGUUGUCAUAUCAAUACCAUUUUGACAGGUGUCCAGUACAAUGGAAUAAACAUUAUUAGUUUUCUCGUUUAAUAUGUUUUUAUUUUAUUCAUAAUCUUUGUGGUAACUCAACUCUAGAAGCUUACUGAUUGUCAUUUAGCCCACUAAUAUGACUCACUUCUAUCGAUAUAGAAGUCCAGG